UGUGGGAGCUGGCUUGCCAGCGAUAGCGGUAGAUCAGUCAGCAUUGAUGUUGACUGUGAUCAAGUCAUCGCUGGCAAGCCAGCUCCCACA
rnacentral:antisense_RNA from 1 species